GACGGGUGAGCAAUACUUGGAUAUCUGCCCAAUAGUGGGGGACAACACGGGGAAACUCGUGCUAAUACCGCAUACGCCCUACGGGGGAAAGCAGGCUUCGGCUUGCGCUAUCGGAUGAGCCCAAGUCGGAUUAGCUAGUUGGUGAGAUAAAAGCUCACCAAGGCGACGAUCCGUAACUGGUCUGAGAGGAUGAUCAGUCACACCGGAACUGAGACACGGUCCGGACUCCUACGGGAGGCAGCAGUGGGGAAUAUUGGACAAUGGGGGCAACCCUGAUCCAGCCAUGCCGCGUGUGUGAAGAAGGCCUUAGGGUUGUAAAGCACUUUCAGUGAGGAGGAAAAGUUAAUGGUUAAUACCCAUUAGCCGUGACGUUACUCACAGAAGAAGCACCGGCAAACUCCGUGCCAGCAGCCGCGGUAAUACGGAGGGUGCGAGCGUUAAUCGGAAUUACUGGGCGUAAAGCGCGCGUAGGCGGUUUGUUAAGCCGGUUGUGAAAUCCCUAGGCUCAACCUAGGAACUGCACCCGGAACUGGCAAGCUAGAGUACAGUAGAGGAAGGUGGAAUUCCAAGUGUAGCGGUGAAAUGCGUAGAUAUUUGGAGGAACAUCAGUGGCGAAGGCGGCCUUCUGGACUGAUACUGACGCUGAGGUGCGAAAGCGUGGGGAGCAAACAGGAUUAGAUACCCUGGUAGUCCACGCCGUAAACGAUGUCAACUAGUUGUUGGGUUCCUUGUGGACUUAGUAACGCAGCUAACGCACUAAGUUGACCGCCUGGGGAGUACGGCCGCAAGGUUAAACUCAAAUGAAUUGACGGGGGCCCGCACAA
rnacentral:rRNA from 1 species